GGGCGAUUAGCUCAGUUGGGAGAGCGCUGCAUUCACAUUGCAGAGGUCGCUGGUUCGAGACCGGCAUCGCCCACCA
rnacentral:tRNA from 1 species